rnacentral:rRNA from 1 species
UACGAAGGGGCUAGCGUUGCUCGGAAUCACUGGGCGUAAAGGUGCGUAGGCGGGUCUUUAAGUCAGGGGUGAAAUCCUGGAGCUCAACUCCAGAACUGCCUUGAUACUGAAGAUCUUGAGUUCGGGAGAGGUGAGUGGAACUGCGAGUGUAGAGGUGAAAUUCGUAGAUAUUCGCAAGAACACCAGUGGCGAAGGCGGCUCACUGG